UUGACUGUGAGCAAAUCAAAAUAUUAAAUUCUUCUUUAUUCUUUGCAAUUUUAUCAUAAAAAAACAACACAUUCACUUUCCCUAAGUUUUUCUUUUUUUCUUUUUUUUUCUUUUUUACAUCCAUAACAUAAAUUAUAAAAAUUCAACACUAAACAAAAAUUACAUUAAACAAUUUAAAAUUUACAAAAUAGCCUCUAAAACUCCAGGAAUUGCAGAGAAGGCCUACUGCACCACCGGAAUAGUGUCAGGCAGACUUCUGGAGCCGCAAGAUAGUGGCGGCGCGUCUGCUCCAAAACGGACAGCAGGGGAGAUUCGAAACAGCUUCCUCCCUGCUUCCUCACCGGCGGUGACCUGCACAAAUAGCAAAAUCCCAAUAACUAGCUGAUUUUAAUUUUUCUUUUGUGCAGAUCCGUUCUCGAAUCUGUUGCUCUGUUCUGGUCUUGUUGUUCUUUCCUUCUUCUUCAAGCGGCAGAUCUGGCGACUGAGGAAGGAGUGCUGGAGGCUGGAGCUGCAGGUGUAGUCGUGCAUAGGGAGGAGCUGCUGCGGGGCCGACUUUGCUUCGGGAGGCAGAAGACGGGCAGAUCUGUGGUGUCGGCCAGGUGAGGGAGGCCGACAGGUCGGCUGAGAGAGGAGAGGGACGGUGCUGCUGCUGUUCGGCCGCCGCUGGGGGCCGAAUGAAGGAGAGACCUGGCGAUGGAAAUGAGAGAGUGAAGGGAUUCUGUUCUGUCAAAGAGAAGGGGCGGCUUCUCUUUGAUCUUGGUCGGAUUCUCUAAGUCGGCUGAGGGGAGAAGGGGAGAGUGAAGGGGAGAUGGGGGAGUGCAGAGGAGGCUGCUCUGGUAUGGGAGAAGAAGCUGGAAAUAAGGGAUGUGGGAGAAGGAAGGAAAAUGAGGGCUGGUCUUCUUCUCAGUCGGCUCUAGGGAGAACCAAAGGACGUGAGGGGUUGGUCUUGGUUUUUGGCUGAGGAGAAGGGGAGAGUGAAGGGGAGAUGGUAUGGUGAGCUGCGGUUGGAACUGGGGGAAAGAAAAAAAAGCUUCUGGAUGAUGGGGGGGGGGGCUUGGUGUGAAAGAGAUAGAAUUAGGGUUUCUUUUUUUUUUUCAAAAUUGCCCCCCACUUUUUUUGUGUGUGUUGAAAGCUACUAUUUGUAGGCAAAAUAUUGUUUGGUCCCCAAACUUUGUCCCUCGACUUCUUCUUUUUUGUAAAUUUUGAUUUUUUUUUUGUAUUUUUUGAAAACGAGCAAUAUCAUUGAUUUUAAAAAUGAUGCAUGAAAAGUAGAACGCGUUCAAAAGACCUUAGAAAAUUUAAAUUCUUUUAAGACGACGCUGAAAAUGCUAAAAACGAUGCAAAUAUAUUAAAAAUAUAUUUUUUGGAUUUUCAUUGUUUUUUCGCUAUUUUUUUAUUUUUCGAAAAUUUAUCAAAAAGAUGGGUAAAAAUUGGGUAAGAACACUCAUUUCUGCAUAAUUAAAGGGUUUAAAUACUUAAAACAAGGAAUUCAAAUAGCUACAGUUAACGAAAUAAUAGUUAAUAGCUAUGGACCAACCCUUCCAAUGGAAUGAUGCCAGCAAAUCCUCCUGCAUGAGGCACGUCUCUUGCAUGAUUCAUGUCAUAAACCAUGGAUUCUUGAUAGGAACACGUAGUGACCUUCUUGGUGGUUUAUCAAAAGAGCUAUAGACAUUCCAUUCUCAGAGUAGAGAAGCAGCAAAGACAAUCCUUACAUGAUCCCACUUCCAACAGAGAAUAUUAAUUAACUAGAAAUCGAAACAUUGCUUAAGUCAUAAUCAGAGGUGAAGGCGAUAAGUAGGAGUGGCGCACAGAUGGUUUGCUCUCGGGGUUACAAGACCAAACGCCUCAGUCAUGUCCACUUCCUCCCGCAACAUAUUUUUACGAAGCUCCCAAUCAAAGCAAUGCACCAGCUGUGCCACAAUUUGCAGAUCCAUGGUUAGUCCCAAAUGCAUUCCAGGGCAGCCCCUGCGCCCAGCCCCGAAGGGGAGAAGCUGGAAAUCGCGUCCACGAACAUCUAUGUUACUCCCAGCAAACCUCUCUGGAAUAAACUUAUUUGAAUCAGUCCAAGCACUUUGCUCGCGUCCAAUAGCCCAAACGUUUACAAUAACACGUGUUUUUUGCGGGAUUAGGAAGCCAUCUAUGGUGCAAUCUUCCAUUGACUCGUGAGGGAUAAGUAGAGGUGCCACUGGAUGGAGCCUGAAAGCUUCCUUUAUAACCAUGUGCAAGUACUCCAAGCCCUCCAAGUCUGAUUCUUCCACCAUUCUAUCCAUGCCUAUUUUCUCUUCCAGCUCUUUCUGGACUUUCUUCAUUACUCUUGGAUGCUUGAUGAGCUCGGAGAGAGUCCACUCAAUUGCUGUGGCUGAGGUGUCCAUUGAGCCUACAAGCAUGUCCUGAAAGAGAAAGGUACAGAUUUAAGGAUAAUCAUGUGAUUUAUGUGCUGCUUACUAACAGUUAUUUUAAUUCUAUGCAUUCUUACCAUGAUUAUGGCUUUGAUGUUGUCUCGAACAAUACGAUACUCAGUUUCUUCAGAUCCCAAGAAGUCCAACAUGACAUCAACAAAAUCUUUGGUUCUGUUUUCAUCCUUGAAUUGAAUGUGCUCAUCAAUAAUCUUCUCAAAGAAGUCAUCAAAUACCUUGCCUACGGCCUUCAUGCGCUUUGUAAGACCCUGAAGGUCAAGUGGCGCAAUUGGAGGGAUGUAAUCACCGAAGUUAAAACUUGCUGCUAAACGCAUGCCCUCAUGAAUCACUGGUUUGAACCCCUUCUCAUGAAAUUCCUUUUCCAUGUAUUUCUUUCCUAAAACCAUCCUACAACUGAUGUCAGCGCUUAGAGAUGAGACCUUUGGCACUAAGAUCAACAGCAACACGCUCACGAGAAGCAUCUUUAAUGUAGUCAAUCAAGAGGUCAAGCUCUUCUUUCCUUGAGGACAUGAAAGAAAUUAUUUUAUGGUUGCUAAGCAACUCAAGGGUACAAUCUUGCGCACGUUGCGCCAAUAAGAGCCAUAUGGAGCAAAUGAUAAGCUCUUACCGUAAGAGAUAUGCUUCGCAGCCUCAUUUGGUGGCCUAUUAGCAAACACGAGGUCAUGGGUCUUAAGAAUCAAUUCGGCAGCCCGAGGCGAUGAGACAACUACAGCAGGCACCAAGCCUAACCGCAUAUACAUGAUAGGGCCAUACUUGUUUGCUAGUUGAUGCUAGUCUUGAUGAGGGAACUUCCCUAGCAAAUGUAAGCUACCAAAUAUAGGAAACCCUAUUGGACCAGGGGGCAACUUGCUAUCCUUGAUCUUUCUUUUCGACAGCCAAGCUCGGAGGAAGAAAGCGAGCGCAAUCAAGGCUAGAGUGGUUAAUAUCCAAGCCAUGCUGUGUCUGAUUUAUUAAGGUUGGGUUCUAUGUGCCAGUGGUGAGCUAUAGCUAGCUUUUCUUAGUGAAAGCAAACCUAAAUCCAACUCUUGCUUCAUAAAGAGAAGACGCUACACAUAGUCGUAACUAGGGAGAUGAUAACAGGAAGAAGACAAACUGGGGAUAAGUUCAAUGUCUUUGUUUGUAUCGCUUCUUGUUUUUUAUUUUGAAGAAAGGGAUCAAUUGUGGAUAUCUGAACUCAUUUACUUGUCUCAAUUUGGUUCCACCAAUUCUACUAGUAGGAGGAAAUCAAUCAAGAAAAAGACAUCAAUGUUAGUAUAAAGGUGUGGUUUCUUGCGUGUAAGAGUGCGACAUAGACACAUGGAUAAUAACUGUUUUUAUAUUUUAAAAGUGUUUAAUAAAAGAUUUAAUUUUUUUUUAUUUUAAAUUAAUAUUUUUUGAUGUUUUUAUAUUAUUUUAAUAUGCUGAUAUAAAAAAUGAUUUAAAAAAAUAUUAUUUUAAUAUAUUUCUAAAUGAAAAAUAUUUUGAAAAGCAAUUGCUACCACACUCCCUAACAUUCUGAAAAUUUUUAACAGGAUCUACAGGUAGACUGUUUCAAGGUAGUGAUAUUUUAGCUUCUUCUAGUCGAUAAAAUUUGUUUGUAGGGCUAAUCUUAUCUCUAAUGGAAGAUUCUAUUAAGAAGAGUUAAAUUUCUUUUUCUUUUUCUUUUUCUUUGAUUUAUUUUUAAUCAUAUCCUUCCAAGUGAAAAAGACAGAUUGAGACCCUUAUAACAUUAUUAUAACAGCUAGGACAGAAACAAGCUUAAUCCCAAAAAUUAUUGUUGGUGCGCUUGUCGUGAUUGAUUAUUUAUACAAACCUAACUGUUGGCCAUCGUCAAACCAUUAAUCACUGUUGAUGGAUGAAGAUUCAUCAAAACAUUUUUAAUAUUUAAUAGAAAGAUAUUUACUUUUAGCAUAAGCCCAUAAUAAUCAUCAACCCAAUUAAUAGGCUCAUAUCUACCACCUUGUGGGCUCGGGCUGCAUACCCGAGCCCAACACCUUGUUGAGGGCUCGAGCGCACAACGCGAGCCCAAUGUUGAGUGCGAGCGCAACAUCUUUUGGGCUCGAGUGGUGUUCCCGAGCCCAAUCCCAAGGGUUGUGACUGGUCAUUUUGGGUCAUUGUCUGUUUUUUUAGCCCAUUAACAUGGCUUGGUUUUCUUGGACAUAGUGAGUGUCUUAGACCCAUUUUACUUCUUCCUUCAUUAAUGCAUGUGGAAGACAUAUCUUCCCUUAUUAAUGCAUUUGUAACAGAUAUUUAUUUCUUAUAAAUGUUAUCAUUGUAAAUUUAUUCUUCAGUCCUCCACUCAAUAAGAAGCCAAAGUUCAAGGAUUAUAAAUACCCCUUGAACUAUCUAGGUAAAAGGUUCAAGACUUUACAUUCAAAAGACAUAUAUAUCCAACACAAAAAUCACUUUGUUCUUAGAAUUUAAGGCUCUCAAGCAUAUUUAUUACUCAUUUUCUCUAUAAGAUUAUCUAUUUUACCAUCGGAUGAUCUUUAAAUCCCCCAAAAGAGAACUUUUUAUAGGUAUCCAGAGGCAUUUAUCAAGAGAUAAUUUCCUUCAUUUUGAAGAAAAAGAGUCAUUUGAAUGUACAUUUGAUUAACAUAUAAUUCAGCCACCAAAAAACCUUAUUCCAAAGCACAUCGGAUUUUUAAACAUCAUCAAUUGGCAUCGUUUGUAGGGAAACAAUUAAAAAAACCAUCAAUUUUUUUGUUCUUUUUUAAUUGAUUUUUUUUUAAUUUCACCUUUCAACAACUCAUAACCCGGAUCGCAAGUUUGGUAGAUUGACAUGGGAUGACACGGUUUAUUUUUUUGGAUUCUUUUUAAUUUUUUUUUUCAAUUUCACCUUCCAACAACUCAUUCUUUUUAUUUAGUUUUUUCUUUAUAAUAUUAAGUUGUUUGGGAAUUGAGUUUCAUAAUGUUUUUUCUAUUUUCUUUUGGUUGUAUUAUCCUUAUCUCAUGGAUUUAGUUUUUUUUCCCUCGAUUUCAAUAUUUAAUAUUGAAUUUGUUUGGGGAUUUAGUUUCAUAACGAGGAUAUUGAUUGGCAUAGAUAUAUAGAAAAUUUUGACAGGAUUAAAAUUGCUCAGUCAACUACUAUAUACGGAAUUUUUGGCUCUCCCGACAUCAAUAAGAGGGUCAUGCAAUGAGGAGCUGAAUGAAAAUUGACUCUGUCACCAUCUUGCUGAUAGACGCUGUGCUGUAACUUUGUCUUCGUGGGAUUGAAAUUGAACCUAACCUUGAUUUCAAGGUCUUUUAAUAGUCUUUUUUAUCCUUGCAGAAAGCAAUCUAGGGUUGUUCUUCAUCUACUUAAGAUGCCUCAGUCAUGAAAUGAAACUCGAAGUCAGAAUUGACAUAUCAAAAGCAUGUUGAGAAUGAGCUUGCAAAUGUGUUGUUAGAAAUGAAAUCAUGGCAGACAUCGCAGCAUUAAUUUGUGGUGUUGAUUUUUGUUCAUUUGCAAUGAAUUUUUAAUUAUCUGCCUUCUUUUGUUUACACAAUCUUGUCGUCUAACAAAUAUUUUGUAUCAAAUAUUUUGUGGGAUUUAAGCUUUAGUUGAACUCAGUUGUCAAAAUGGGUUCACUGCCUUCAAAAUGGAUUUAUGCAUCUGAGCAUUGACUCGUACACGUCUAAGUGAACUGCAAUGUCACACAUAGAUACAUUUGUUCUAUCUUUUCAGGUGCAAGCUGCUAUGGCAACUUAUCACUUUGUUGAGUAUUGCACUUCAAAUAUGUUAGAACCUCAAUUUGAUGAGAUUAUCAGUAAAUUGCUCAGAUGCCUACAGGUGAGGUAGCAUGUGAUCUUUCUAAUUGUGUGUGCAUUCAUUCACAGCAUGUGAAAUACCUUUUUGAAUAUUGCUUCCUGUGGAGGAUCUAGCAUGUUUUUUCUUUUUUUCGAGCUUUCCUUGAUAAAUAUAAAAACUCACAUGCACAUGCAUAAUUGUACAAAAAGAAGCCCGAGUCCAUAUGCAACUAUAUCUUGUCUCUGAUCUGCAGUCUUUAUGUUGAUUUUGCAUUUGCACAAUCCAGAAAGGGAAACAACUAUUGAAACUGUGGGCCUUAUCAGCAUUAGCAGCAAUUGCUAAGUCAUCACAGGUACCAGUCAAGAGUCAAGAGUUGCUUGUGGCCUAUUUUAAUUUUUCUGGUUUUUUAUAUUAAUUAUUGUACUUUUGCAGGACCGGUUUCUAGAGUAUUACAGAACAGUUAUGCCUUACCUAAAAGUUGUGAUGACGAAAGCAGAAGGGGAAUCUAACAGCAAGCUCCUUUCUGCAACUGUUUCGUGCAUUACAGCAAUUUGGACGGUUUUCGGAAAGGACAAGUUCGGUGACGAUACUCAACAGGUAAUAAUCAGUACUGGAAAUGUAAGAUGCGGCUUUCGGAUAGGGUAGUAAGGGGUUUUGAUAUAAAAGAUUCUCGAGUUCUAGUUAUUUGCUUGUUAAUCCUGCUGGUGUACCAAAAAAAGAUGUAAUUUGCCGGCAUAAAUAAGUUAUAACAUUUAUUUAGACAAAGAAAACUGUUUCUGUUUAUCUUAAAACAGUAAUCUGUUUAUAGUUCUUUACAUACUGUACUGAAUUUGGAUUCAUGGAUGGGUUCAGAAGUCUCUUGAAGCCACCCAAAUCAGAUAUGUUUUAGAGUUUGCAAGACAUAUUGACCUAAGUACUUUUUAGUAUAAUGUUUUUGUUAGAACACAUUCAUACAGUAGCAUUAUUGACCCUUUUUUUUCUUAUGCAAGGUUGUGCAACUUCUUGUUUCCACACCCAUAUCAAAUCUGGAGAUACAUGACCCAAUGAGAAUUGAAGGGUUAAGAGUAUGUUAAUAGUAGUUGUACAGUUUCCACUGAAAAAAAAAAUUGGUUCUUUACUAUAACCUUGUUCUUCACUGAAACAUGUAAGAUACUGCAGGCAUGGGGCAGACUUUGCAAAUGCUUAGGCCACAAGUUCCAGCCUUAUAUGGAAGUAGCCAUUCCUUGUUUGCUUCAAUCUGCGCGGCUCACUUUGCCUGAUGAUGCUAACGUUGAAGAAUCGGAUAUGAAAGGUUAGUCUUCUUAUUAGAAAUCUUAAAAAUUACAAGAGAAACAGAUUGAUGAGCUGAAAAAUAAAUGGCAGAACAUGAAUGUUAUUCAUAUAUAUGCAAUUCUGAUUUUCACAUAUAAGCGAUGGAUGAAGUGAUUAAUCAUUCUAAAUCAACUUCACUCUGAAAUAUUGAAUAUGUGUCUUGCAAACUCUAAAAUUAGUUCAAUAAUUUUGUCAAAACUUGGAACCCACGUAAUAAGUACAGGAUCAAGUAUAAACCCUGCUAUUUUUGGAUAUAUAUUUUUUUUAUGGCUGAUGUAUCAAUUUUCUGUGUGGAACACUAACAAGAAACCGGAUGAUUCAAAUCAAAACUGAGACUCUGGAGGAGAAAGCCACAGCUUGUGUAUCGUUGCGUGAUUGCGUUGCUGAACUCAAAAGAAGGCAUUGAUUUAUGGAUUGAUGAGGUGGUUAAAUUUCUAACACAUAAUAGUUUCCAUAGCUUGACCUAUAUGAGCAAAUGUGAGCAAAAUUUAGAAUGGCUGAGCAUCUGUGCAGGUUGCUGAAACUUUAGUUCCACUUCUCAAUUUUUACGAGCAUGCUGAGGUUAGAAUAGCUGCUGUAUUAGGUAAUUAAAAGCUAAUGUAGUCUCCAAUAAUUACUUUUAUGCAUUUCUUAACCAUCUCCAAUAAUCACAAUUUCCUUUCUGCUUUGUAACUAGCCAUGCCUGAAAUACUGAAAUCGUCGAAAGCAGCAAUAUUUGAGAAAAGGCUUCUUAAGAAAUCUCCCUUUGAAAAGUUGUGUUCUGAUAUAAUACCAGCUUUGGUUGAAGCACUGGUUAAGGUUAUCCUGUAAUUUAUAAUUAAUAUUAUUAUUAUUGAAUUGAAUCAGAUACCUUGUGAUUAUGAGAAAUCUUUAACUACUACUAGUAUUGUUUGUAGGAAGAAGUCAUUAAAAUUAGUGCAGUAAUGUUGGAUUCCUUGGAGGAUUGCUUGGAGGUCUGUAGCAUUUUUUUCCCCUUAAUGUGUUAAUUGGUCCACUUAUAAGAACAUAAAUAUCAGUCUGAGAAAUUUCUUUAUUCUAUAUGUUGUUAAGAAAGACUACGCAUUCUCUUCCUAUGAAAAGAACUGCAUUUUAUGCGUCAAAUAAAAAGAUAUAGAUAAUCAUGCAUCUGCUAACUCGGGCCACAGCUCAGGGGAAAAGAAAAGGAGUCAUGGCUCAAAAUUAGUUGCUUGGUGUUAGAUAUUCUGAUUUAAAAUUAGUUUUAGCGUUCUACUUGGUCUAGAAUAUUCCCAGCAUGGAAUGAAGAGGAGACUGAUCGUUCCAACUUUUGCUCAUCUCUCCGGCAUGAAAAAUCUUAAAUUGCUCCAUAUGCGAAUACCCACUUUUAAUCUCCAUGGUGUGUAUAAAUUGUUAUCUGACAGUUGAGCAUGGACUCUGAUGACCAGGAAGCUUAUAUGGCUCCAUCCUUAGAUUUGACUGGAUUACUUUCCUCAUGCUGAAUAGUCUAGGUCUCUAGGGAAGAAUUGAUGCUAGCUCUUAUCUUAUCAGCACAAACUUCUCUCUUUCAGUUAUCGGGACCUGUUUUAAAUAUAGAUCAGAUCAAGCGCUUCUUGUCUGUAAUAAUGGACGUUCUCGACACUAGCAUAUCCAUUCCCAAAGGUGAUGAAGCGUCAGAGCAAGGAGAAAAAGUUAGUAAGAAAGUAAGUGAUUGUAUCACUUUUCACCGGAUGAUUGACUCCGCAACCGCUUGGCUUGCUUUCAUUUCAUAAGGAUAUUAUAGUAAGUGUUUUUUCUUAUCACAUAUUUGUUUCUUCAUAAAGGUUUGUGCUUGCUUGAAGAUUUUCAUGAAAACUUACAAGGGUUCCUUGUUGCAAUUCUUCGACCAGCUUUUAUCACGUAUGGAACAUAUGUGGGUAGGUUUCUUUCUUUAAGUCUUCCAUUUUUUUACCCUCUCUUACAUAAGCUCAGUUUACUGUGAUUCCCCUGUUAGUGACCAAUUAGUAUGUUGAUGUCUCAUGCUUAGUGAGCAGCAUUCGCAUCUGUAUAAAAGGUUGAACGGCCAUGUCCAUUUUUAAAAUUGGCCUUUUCUUGUAAUGUAGGUUUAGAUGUCAUUCCACUCUUAGGUGAGAAAUUUCUGGCAUGAAAAUCUUCAGUAUUAUGUUGAAAGUUGUUUUCCUUAAAUCAUAUUGCUUGAGUACGAGGCAUGGGAAUAGAAAACUGGAUAUGUUGAAGAAGGUGCGUGUAGAGGUUGAUUCUCUAGUCAAUUGUAAUGCUCCAUCUGAUAAAGAAUGGGAAAAUUACCAGUGCACACUUUUUUACUCUUUGAAUAACAUAUUGUGAAUAUGAGCCCAUGGAGGUUCAGAAACAGGGAGACAGAGAACUGAAAAAUUGAGAGAUCUCUGCUCCAUUUAUUGUCUUGCCGCAGGUUAAGGAUAAAACAGUUAAAGAAAGAAAAAUUGCCUUGAAGAUUUUCGCUGAUGUUGUAGAGGAAUUCCGAGAAGAAGCUUUGAAGUAAGCCUAGUCCUUUUUAAUUUGGUUAGAGAAGGUAAAUUUAAUGCACUAUAAUACCAAAUUGAUAAAAAGCAGGUUCUGUGAGAGUGAACUCUUGUUGCUAUUUAAAGCUUGCAAUGAUGAUGAACCAGAAGUUCAAGAGGUCUGUUUAUAACCCAGCCUAGCGAUGACAGUGAUGUUGUGCACCUCGUAAAUAGAGAAAAUCUCUUAUUCAGAACAUGAAUUAUUGCAGGUUGCUGCACAUGGAAUUGGUGUUGCUGCAGCCUUCGGUGGAUCUAUCUUCAAACCUCUGGUUGGAGGUAGCUUGUCUAUUCUUCAUGUAGUCCUCUUAUUACCUGCGUGCAGUAUUUAUACAAUAAAUCCCAUUGGUUUUAUUUGGCAGAAGCAGUUUCUGCUCUAAAUGCUAACAUAAGCGAUUCAAUGGCAUUGCACCGAGAUUACAUAAUGGCCCAUGAUGCUGCUGUUACAGCUCUCGAACAAAUAUACCUAUUCCACAAGGACAGAAUCAAUGCAAGUGAGGUGCAUUGCUACUCUUGCUUUUUAUAUUUUGUAUAUUUAAGUAGUUUUGAAUUUGGUCUAGAAGUACAGAAUAGUGAUUUCAUUUUGCAAUUCAAGCAAUCUAGCUAGCUAAAAGACUAUUUCUUGUAACUUCAAUUGAGGGGUAACGUGAGGUGGUAACAUGGCAGAAGUAGUCUACCAUUACUUUGACAUCUUUCCACCUACCAAAACUAAAAUUUUUGAUGAUUUUUUCCAGCUUCUUCAAUAUUCCAAAGUUUUGGAAACAUGUUUUCAAAAUCUAGAAGGGCUGGUAACACAGACUAAUUUAUUUUGUUGGCUUUACAUAGCAGAAAUGGCUCGGGUGUAGGGUUGUCAAUUUUGUAUCUCUGAAGAGAUUCAGUAUGAUAUUUGUGUCUGGUGCUAAAGCUGAAGCAACUCUCCCCCAUUCUGGUUUUUGACUGCAAUAACAGCCAAGAGCUAUAUUAUCAAGGUGUAAGAAAUAUUCAGGUGUAAGUGUGCUCUUACUGUCACAGAUGGUAGUAAGGAUUAUAAAAUCACAUCUGUAACUUAUUGUAACCCAUAGACCAAUCUGAAAUGUCUACAAAGGAACGUGGUCUAAUAUUUUCAAUCUUCUAAGUUAUCUAAUGUAAUUUACCGAAAAGUUGCUGUUGAGAUUUUCUACAGGUCCCAGAGGGAGUUUUCUACAGCUCUCAGUCUGUGGAAGCAAUUUGAUACUAUAUUUAUGCUACCAGUAAUACGAAUAGUUGUAAACUUUAUGCUAGAAGUUCCAGCAGAGUUUUUCAUGCUGAAUUUUGCUAGAAAUGCUAAUUUUAUGAUUGGAUAUUUUCUACUUGUAUGCAAGAUCUCUCCGUAGGCAAGUGAUUUGUUAUGUAAAAUCUUCCUUCCUCCUAUCCUUUUCAAAUUGGAUUGUGCUAAUUAUUUCAUCAACUUCCAUUUCUAUCAUGUUUCUUCUUCCUUCUAUUCUACAGACUCUUACAACAUUUAUUUCUAAUCUACUUAGCAGGUGUUUAGUACAUGGUUAAGCCAUUUGCCAAUAAAGAACAAUCUACUGGAAGUCAAAAUUGCACAUGAUCUGCUGUGUUCAAUAGUUGAGAUGCAAGCCAUAAGAAAUUUAUUUUACCAUAUGAAACUGGUGUAACUAUAAUUGUCAGAAUCAACUGUUUGUUGCAUUUGUUAUUCUCUCAGAUCAGAGGACGAACUUCUUCGCUAAGAUUUUGCUUGUCUUCCCAAAAUCAUCGCUGCUUUUGCAGAGGUAAUUUCUCUCUCUGACCUGUUGUGGCUAAUACUCGUAAUAUCUCUCAGUUUUUCCACCUCCAUAAGAUUUAACACUUUUCACUUUCUCUAAGUAGUUCCUAUAAGAUCCAGAGUCAUAAAAAUAGUAUAUUGCUUGUGAAAUCUUUCCAGUCUCUGGCCUUUGGAAAGACAUCAGGUAUAUGGUACAUUUUGCAUUCAAGUACAAUUUUACAAGACUUGGCACCAAAAGAGUCUUUAUAUACUAGUCAAAAUACACAUAACAUAGUCUUCACUCGUCGUUAAGUUUCUGCAAGUUCUGAAAACGAAAUACUAAUUUCUGCUGUGAAUACUUUCCUUGCAGAUACUAUGGGCUGAUGAUGAAACUUUAGCAACAGAGGAAACCGUCAACCGAGUGAUUAAACAGUUGAGGGACUUUAAGAGCAGGUUACCAUCAAACAUCUGGUCAUCUAUCCUGUCAACCUUGGAACCCUCUCGUCAGAAUGUUGUGCAACUUUCAUUGUCAUCUUAGUUCUUUAUUCCUGGUCAUCAUGGAGUCCCUUGAGAUUGAGCAAGGAUUUGUCAUGGAUACUCCUGUUUGAGCCGUAUUAAACAAUAUAAAGCACUUGUUUAGUGAAACAUUCUUUUUCUGGUAAAUCUUCUCUUCCUUUUUCUCACUACAAACGGUUGCAUUAAACUCAAUCCAAGAAAGUCAAAGACGGCAACCACCUCCUGCAGUCACCGCCAGCCACCAGCUGUCAGCCGCCUUCACAAAUCGCCAGUCACAUUCACACCACCGCCAACUAAGAUUUUUUCUUACUUUCAAUUUGUGUAUAAAUAGGCAGCUAAGUUUAUGUUACUGUGUGUGGAAAUAUAAGAGACAAACACUAAAGAGAAAGAGAGAGUGUGUAUUAAGAGCUUUUGUUUAUUUUGUAAGUUUCUUGUUGUUGAAAUAAAACAGUGUGUUUUAUCCUCUCUGGGUGUUUCAAAGCCACCACCAGUGGUUUAUCCCACCAACAAUUGGUAUCACAGCCUUGUUCUUAACAAAAACAAAGGCGUUGUUGGGAUACAUCCGUUUUUUCAAAGUUGUCAAAAACACAUUUUGAUUAUACCACGGUGUAGGGUUCAUCAAUCCCAACUCAACGGUGCAAAAUCAGCUUCAUCGAAGCCAGAGGUAGCCCACACGCACCUCCUGAAAUUUCGUCAUUGUAGCCCACGCGCCCAGAGGAAGAAGACGACUGAGCAACACGCGCACCAUAUUUGAGCCACGCCGAGCCGCCUAAUCCGCCGCCAAGCCAAGCCGCUAGCCGAGCCAAAAGAAUAUUCCCCAGAAUAUUCCUGGUUCAACCCCAGCGAACCGCCCGACGUCCAGAAUCGGUUUCCUGACCAGUUCAGCCCAAUUUUGACCCAUUUUAAACAAAGUCAGACCGGUUCCCUACUGUUUUGAGCAUUCUGGACCCAUCUACAAUGUUUGUUUUGCCAAAUUCAACUCCCAAAAGGUGAUUUAGUCAUUCAAAUAGCAAAAUGACUACAGAAAAUACACAAACACUCAUCCUGAAGUUGACCAAAGACAACUAUGAUAGUUGGUGUAUCAGAUUGAAGGCAUUUCUUGGUUCACAAGAGUGUAUAGAGAUUGUGCAAUAUGGUUAUGACGAACCAGAGUCCAAAGAAGCAGAAGAUGCUCUACAAGAGGUCGAGAAGCAAGUCCUCAAAGCUAAUAGAAAGAAAGACAACAAAGCAAAGACCAUCAUCUAUCAAGGUCUUGAUGAAGCAAUAUUUGAGAUCAUUGCUUUUGCAGAAACAUCAAAAUAGAUAUGGGAGGCUCUCCAACAAAAAUACAAAGGUGCUAAUAGAAUCAAGAAGAUUUGUCUCCAAUGUUUGCGAGGUGAAUUUGAAUUAUUACAAAUGAAGUCCUCGGAAUCUAUUUCUGAUUAUCACACAAGAAUUAUGGUGAUAGUCAAUCAGAUGAGAAGAAAUGGAGAAGCCCUUACAGAUGCUCGGAUUACUGAGAAAAUUUUGAGAUCCCUAGAUCUAAAAUUUGAUUUUGUUGUUUUCGCUAUUGAAGAGUCCAAAGAAGUGGACAAGUUGAUGGUGGAUGAGCUUAUGAGUUCUUUGCAAGCUCAUGAGCAAAAGAUUGUGAAAAGAAAUGGAGAUAAGGCAAUUGAGCAUGCCUUACAAGCAAAGUUGUCUCUCAAAGACAUAUAUGAGCAAGGGGAGACUUCAACAAGUGGCUACCACUUGGGGAAGAGGUCAACAAAGACAAGGAGGAUUUCAGCGAUUUCAAGGAAGAGGAUCUUGGAAUACAGGAUUUAGAGGAAGAGGUGGUAGAAACACCACUAGAGGAGGUCGAGGACAAUAAGCAUUCACUCCUAGAGGAAAAGGAGGCAGUUACAAUAACCGUGACAAGAGGAAUAUCCGGUGUUAUAGUUGCAAUCAAUUUGGGCACUAUAACAUUGAAUGUCGAAGGAAAGCUCCAUUAGAGGUACGUGAACAAGCCAACUACGCAGAGGAGGAUGUCGUCAUCAGAGGAUCAACUGCAUUAUUUGUCCAACAAGGACUUGGCGAGAAUCAAGAGAAUAUUUGGUAUCUAGAUUCUGGAGCCAGCAAUCACAUGUGUGGCGAACGGGAUCUAUUUGGUGAUUUAGAUGAGACCAUAAAAGGUCUAGUCACAUUUGGAGAUACCUCAAAAGUACCAUUUAAAGGUAAAGGCAACAUCCCAAUCAAGUUGAAGAAUGGCGAUCACGGCUACAUCGCAGAUGUUUACUAUGUUCCAGCCAUAAGGCACAACUUACUGAGUGUAGGUCAACUUAUGGAGAAAGAUUAUACUCUUUUCAUGAAGAAUUGUCAUCUGACAAUCAAAUACUAUAAUGGGAGAUUAAUUGCCUAUGUGAAGAUGUCCAAGAAUAGGAUGUUUCCUUUAAACAUCUAAUAUGAUGCAGCAAAGUGUUUGAGUGUCAUCACCAACAAUGAAGAGUGGCUUUGGCACCUAAGACUUGGACAUCUGAAUUUCACAAGUCUGAAGAUGCUAGCAAGCAAGAAUAUGGUCAAAGGUAUGCCCCACAUUGAUCAUCCAGAUGAGAUCUGUGAGAGUUGUGUCCUCAGCAAACAUCAUAGAUCUAGUUUUACCAAAGAAGUCAACUGGAAAGCAAAUAAACCACUAGAGUUAGUGCACAGAGAUGUGUGUGGUCCCAUAAAGCCUAUGUCAACUUGACAAAAUAGGUACUUCCUUACUUUCAUUGAUGAUUUUAACAGAAAGAUAUGGAUAUACUUUUUGAAGAAGAAGUCAGAAGUGUUGAAUUGUUUUAAAGAUUUUAAAGGGGGGAUUUGUUAUAUUAAACUCAUUCCAAGAAAGUCAAAGACGACAACCACCACUUGCAAUCACCGCCUGCAGUCACCGCCAGCCACCUUCUCAAACUGCCAGCCACCAGCUGUCAGCCGCCUUCACAAAUCGCCAGUCGCAUUCACACCACCGCCAACUAAGAUUUUUUCCUACUUUCAAUUUGUGUAUAAAUAGACAGCUAAGUUUAUGUUACUGUGUGUGGAAAUAUAAGAGAGAAACACUAGAGAGAAAGAGAGGGUGUGUAUUAAGAGCUUUUGUUUAUUUUGUAAGUUUAUUGUUGUUGAAAUAAAACAGUGUGUUUUAUCCCCUCUGAGUGUUUCAAAGCCACCACCAGUGGUUUCUCCCACCAACACAAACAAGUUUUUUAGUGGAAGGAAGGUGAUUUUUUCUUAUAAAUAAUAGGAAAUAAAGUCGGCAAUUAAACAGAUAGUAACAAAUAACAACAAUUUAAGUCAAUCUCAUUGAAAUCUGCAAUAUAUAAGGUGAAAAGAUUCCUAGUUGGUUCAGGAAUCCGAAGCUACCUAGGUUUUAGAUCUUGUAUAACUAAGUGUUCCUCUCAUGUUAUAAAGUCUCAUGGCUCUCUCCUUCUCUGUCACUCGAUCAUCUCAAUCUCCCCACUCUCAGUUUUUGUUUCAACUACUAUUGGUUAGAGAUAUAGGAAGACUUUGGUGACUUGCGUUUCCAUCUUACUCCACUCGACAUAGUUAAACUAGGAGAUGCUUCCAUGAUAUAUGACAAUUUCAGCGUUAAGGUUGAAGCCUCUUUCAUGCCUCCAAUACUUGACGAAGAGGAUCUCGAAGAAUACGAAUCAAAGGUUUUUGAUCACUACCAUAAAAUUGAUAAAUGCAAACGGGAAAUAUCAAUGAAAUUUUUUUAUUGGUAUAUUACAAUGACCUUUACUAACAGAAUUUUUCAUCCCAGCAUCCAUCGAUAAACACCAACAGAAAAAAUCUCCUGGUAUAUACUAAGUGAAUUGCAGUGGGAAAAUAAAGAAUGAAAAAAAAAGUCAAAUAGUACGAUGACGUGUAACUUUUAUAGAUGACAUUACCAACAGAAAUAACCCAAUGGUAGAGUACGUCUCGUCCGUAAAUAUGCCGAUGGAAAAAUUUCGUCGGUAUAUACCGAGAGAAUUAUGGAGGGUAUUAUAGUGAGAUUCAAAAAAUGCAAAUUGAACGGUGAUGUGGCAUUUUUACCGAUAGAGUUAUUGAUGGUGCUUUCACAAUGACGUGUUUAAUAAUUUUUGAAAAAAUAAUUUCAUUUAACGAAUGCAAUUUUAGGUUUAUAAACAUUGAGGCUGCAAGAACAAUAACAUCGACUUUUAAAUCAUCGAUAGAAAUUUCAUUAUUUCAAUGGAGCCAGGUUUCCAAACAUCCUGAAUGGAAACCGUAGGUCAAUGCAUGGUUUUCAAGGUUCAAGGGUUAAUAUUAACUUAAAUAUUUUUUGUGUUAAUUUGGUUAGUUUAUUGAAAAUACUAAGAUUUUCCUUUUAUAAAUUUUUAUUUCAUGGGAAAAUUUGAAUGGGAGAGAGCUGAUAAUAAUAUUGUUAUGAGGGUUUGGGAGAAUCACGCUUCAAUUAGGUAAGAUCAAAUUCAGGAUAAUUUUUUUUAUUCCAAAUAUUAAAAUUUUAUUUUUUAUUUACUAACAAAUAAUUAAUUUAUACCAUAUAUGUUAUGUGAUUUUUUAUACGAAGCACAAAAGAAAGCUAAAAAAUAUGCGAAAGAAAGAGAACUUCUAGGUUAGAAUGAUGUGGCAGUUUAAAAAGAUUUUAGAACGCUGUACGUUUUAAAGGCUAUAUGGGUGCAAUACAUUUAGCACGUGGUGUCUGCACUUUUCACAUGACGGUCACAGUCUGGUGUGGAAAAUCAGAACCGGCAUGUUCAUGGCUUCAUUACCACACACAUCGGCGACUCUGUUUCAUUUGUUUCACAUGCGAAGUGGAUGGUAGGAUUUUUGUUUACUACAUCAAUAUUUUUAUUAGUUUUUUUAUAAAUAUAUUUAAUUAAUGAUAUUUUUAUCUUACAGGCUACGGUUCUUAGACGCGAACCAAGCUCGAUGGAGCUUUUUGUUAAAACACAAGUGCGGAGUGAUGACCGCUAAAAAGAGAUGCAGGAGUUCAUAGAUAACCGAGCUCAGCACUUUGUGGUUUGUUGGUUUUCAACCAUUUUUGUUCUUAAGUUAUUAUUUCCUUGAAUUUGAUGAAUUUAUUUUUUCUUUCCAGGAUACAUAUAAUAGCCGGUUGAAAGAGAGAUACGAGAAAGAACCUUUAACACAUCCGGAUCUUGAUCCGAAUUUGUGGUUGGAGGUAGGAUCGUCCGGUGGACCCGAUAAAAAUUAGGUAUACGGACUCUUUAACACUACAGUCGAGAACUUAUGGACUAUCCGUAGUGUUUCGAUCAUUGGAUGCUCGCAAUCGAUAUUUAGACCAACGAGUACAGGCUCAAAUGACCCAUCUUAAUGAAAAAUAUGAACUACUCACUACUGAUUAUGAAGAACUUCGUCGAUCGGUAAUGAUGAUGAGAUCAUAGAUGAGUGGUGCAUGUGCACCCCCUAAUUGGCCCCACGGUCUCGGCGACAACCAGCCUUCUGAUCCUCCUUCUCCUCAAGCACCACUUCUAUUUUAGAUUUAUUGUAUUUGAAAGUACAAAUGUUUAAAUUUAUAAUAAAUAUUUUAUUUUUAUAUUAUUUUAAUUAUUUUUCUACUUUUGUUCAAUAUAUUUUUAAAAUAUUACCGACAGGGUUACCGAUGAAAUAACUUUGUCGAUAUAUUCUAGAGAGAGUUGGAAAAGAAUUAUUGCAGAUGUCACUACUACUGUUAACUCACCGACGAAAUUACAAAUGGUAUUUUAUUAAUGAUAUGUUAUAUUUAUCGAUGGAUAUACCGACGGACAAAUAGAAACACCGAUGGCAUUACAUAUAGUUUUCCUAACAGUGAUAUGUUAAAUUUACCAAUGGAGAUACCGAUAGAAUGAAGCAUGUAAAUAUUUUUGGUGUGCUUUGUUCAUCUGUAAAUCCAUCGGUAUAUUUAUUACCGACAGACCAUAAAUUACCGAUGAGAGUUUUUUCGAUAGACUGUUUUCGUCCGUGAACCCGUCGGUAAUAUACGUACUGACGAACUGUAAAUGUAAAUACCAACAGAAAUGCAAAUGGAAAGAGGAAGAUGUCUUCAUUGAUCGUGAUCGGUUAUUGAAUGAUGACCAAGAAACAUCAAGAUCAAUUAUCCGUGAGAUUAUUGGUGAUUUGAAUAUCCCUACCAGGGCAUUCAUGAUUGACAAGAUAUUAACUUGUGCUCGGCAAUGGCUAUGGAUAAUCUUUACUUGAGUCGUAAGGUUUUGUAUACGAGGGUAAGAAUUGAUGUCCCAGCAGGUUUUGAGUCUUCAGAUGAUGAUACUGGGGCUGAGUUAAACUUAGCGCCUGCUACUAAAUCAUCCAAUGAGGCUUUGGAGGUUAUUAAAGUUGAAGAAGGCUAUGCUAAGCAGCCGUGUGCAGUUUGCUUCGAGGAACUUUUGAUUGGUGGUGAAGCAAUUAUGUUGCUUGUGGUUGGAGGCAGGAUCAUCUGGUAGGUCCGAUAGAAAUAGGGUGUACGAGACUCUCUAACACUACGCCCGAGAACUUGUGGGCAACUCAUGGUGUUUUGAUUGUUGGAUGCUCGCAAUAGAUUUUGAGCACUCAAACUCUAAAGUUCAUGGAUGUUAGACCAACGAGUACACACUUAGGCGACCCAUCUUAAUAAAAAAUAUAAACAACUCACUGCUGAUUAUGAUGAACUCUGCCGAUUGGUAAUGGAAAUGAGAUCACAGAUGGGUGGUAUAUGUACACCUCCUAAUUGGCCUCACGGUCCCAGCAACAACGAGCUUCCUCCUCCUUCUCUAGCUCCACCUCUAUUUUAGAUUUAUUAUAUUUGAACGUACAAAUGUUUACAUUUUUAAUAAAUAUUUUAAGUUAUUUUAAUUAUUUUUCUACUUAUAUUCAAUAUAUUUUAAAAAUAUUACUGACGAGGUUACCAAUGAAACAACUCUGUCGGUAUAUUCCAGAGAGAGUUGGAAAAGAAUUGUUGUAAAUGUCACUGCUACUGUUAACUCACCAACGGAAUUACAAAUUGUCAAAUAACCAUCUUAACCCAAUAGCUUAAGCUAUUAGGUGAAGUCCCAGAAUAUGAUUUAUAUUAUUCUCUAACGCACCCCUCAAGUGAAAACUCUUUGGGCUUGAAACUUGCACAGGCCCACAUUACCUUUGUGCUUAAUUUUUUAUCAAAUAAAUGGGGAUGGUGAGAUUCGAACUCGAGACCACUUGAUCAUCAAGGCUCUGAUACCAUGUCAAAUAAUCAUCUCAACCCAAUAGCUUAAGCUAUUAGGUGAAGUCCCAGGAUAUGAUUUAUAUUAUUCUCUAACACAGAUGGUAUUUUAUCGGUGAUAUGUUAUAUUUAUCGAUAGAUAUACCGACGGACAAAUAAAAAUAUCAUUGACAAUACAUACGGUUUUCAUGUUGGUGAUAUGUUAAAUUUACCAAUGGAGAUACCGACGGAGUGAAGCAAGUAAUUUUAUUUUAUUUUUUGCGCGCUUUGUCCGUCUGUAAAUCCAUUAGUAUAUUUAUUACUGACAGACCAUAAAUUACCGAUAAGAGUUUUUUCAAUGGACUGUUUCUGUUUAUAAGCCUGUCGGUAAUAUACAUAUCGACGGACUAUGAGUACAAAUGCUCAGCCAAUGGCUAUGGAUAAUCUUUACUUGAGUCGUAAGGUUUUGUAUACGAGGGUAAGAAUUGAUGUCCCAGCAGGUUUUGAGUCUUCAGAUGAUGAUACUGGGGCUGAGUUAAACUUAGCGCCUGCUACUAAAUCAUCCAAUGAGGUUUGGAGGUUAUUAAAGUUGAAGAAGGCUAUGCUAAGCAGCCGUGUGCAGUUUGCUUCGAGGAACUUUUGAUUGGUGGUAAAGCAAUUCUGUUGCCUUGUUCCCAUGUUUAUCAUUGUGGGUGCAUUCGUAAAUGGUUUAAAAUGAUUAAUUGAUUCAUGAAUGGUUAAUUUUGUUCCCAUGUUUUUCCUGAACGAUUAGGGUUUGUAAUCUCUUAUAAGUUUUAGAAUUUAUUAGUUCAAGGAAUGAGAGAUCUUGAAGUUCAAUCUGAUUUGAUUGAGCUUAUGAUCAUUGAUAUCAUUAUGAGUCCAAACUCCAAACUGAUUUGGAUUUUUUAUAUACAUAAUUUUCUUAAUAAUUUUGUCUAAAACUGAUAGCUAGCUUCAGCAUAUAUCAGUAUAUCAGUAUAUGCUCGGCUAAUUGCGGCUCUUUUUUGGUUAUGUGCCUAGCUAUAUUGUUUCCUCUUAUGUUUUAUUGCCAAUGAAUCUCUAUCCGUUGUGGAAAAACGGCUUGAGUUCCUACACUUCCUCCGCCUUUUCUCUAUCAAAUUGUCUUCUGGCUGGGACUGAUGGUUUUGGAGGCCAUAGUCACACCUAGUUGAGAAAUAGCUAGAUUUGCUUCUGAUUUAUUAACACUUAUUAAGCAUAAAGCAAACAAUCAUGCUGUGUCUAUGAAUCACUAGUGCUCUGUAUAAAAAAAGUCAUCAAGUCUAACGGUGCUUUUAUAUAUAUUCUUCUUCCAUCGGUCGGACAGAGAAUAGCUAAUCUAGUUUUCCAAAAGAAAUGGCAUAUACCUCAUUUAUUUGCUCUUAAAAAGAUGGUAAAAUCCUUUAAAGAGUGUGAUGAACAAGAAAGCACACAGAAUCCCUGAAGGAGCAAUUAAUUUAGCAGGGAACAUUAUUUUGAUCUAAAACAAAAUACUGAGACAUUUAGUUUCAUUUGUUAAGGCGAUAUGUAGGAAUAGAUACUAGAUGCUUGGACCUGCAGAGUACGAGACCAAACUCUUCUGACAUGUCCACUUCAGAUGGCAAUAUUCCAUUUGGAAGUUCCCAAUCAAAGCAAUGCACCAUCUGCGCAAGCACCAGUCGCACCAUAGUUAGCCCCAAUUGCAUUCCAGGGCAGCUUCUGCGGCCAGUGCCGAAUGGAAUAAGCUGGAAGUCUCGGCCCCGAACAUCUAUGUCACUGCCAACAAACCUCUCUGGGUAAAACUUUUCUGCAUCGGUCCAAGCUUUUGGGUCUCGACCAAUGGCCCAUACAUUGAUUAUAACAUGUGAUUUCUUUGGUAUGUGGAAGUCAUUCACAACGCAGUCCUCCGUGGCCUCAUGAGGGAUCAUCAAAGGACCCGCUGGAUGAAGCCGCAAGGUUUCCUUCACAACCAUGUCUAGGUACUCCAACCUCUCCAAGUCUGAUUCUUCUACCAUCCUUUGCUUUCCCACUACUUCUUCUAAUUCUUUUUGCAGUUUCUUCAUAACCCGUGGAUUUUUAAUCAGUUCUGAGAAUGCCCAGUCAAUCACAGUUGCUGAAGUGUCCAUUGAACCCACAAGCAUGUCCUGCAAAAUGUCAUGUGCAAGAGCAUAAAGAUAUUUAGAUUAGUAAUGUGCUACCAUUAUUGUGUAGUUAAUUUAACUCUUUCAUCAAGAUUAAAAGAUAAAAUGUUCAUAUACCAGCAUUGUGGCUUUCAUACAGCCUUGAUCAACAAGGUACUCGUUUUCUUCGGAUUUCAUGAAACUUAGCAUGACAUCAACAAAGUCCUUGUUUUUGCCCUUCUCCUGGUAUUGGACAUGCUCAUCAAUAAUCUUGUCAAGAAAGACAUCUAACACUUUGGAAAUAGCCUUCAUGCGUUUUGUCAGUCCCUGGAGAUCAAGAGCUGCGAUUUGAGGAAUGUAAUCUCCCAAGUGUGGAGCUGCUGAUAAAUGCAUGACCUCUUGCAUCACAGAUUUGAAUCCCCUCUCAUCAAGAUCCUCAUCUAAAUAUUUCUUCCCAAACACCAUUCUACAGCUCAUGUCAGCACUGAGGGACGAAACCUUGGCACUCAGAUCGACAGCAACACGUUCCUGUGCAGCUUCUUGAAUGUACUUAAUCAACAGAUCAAGCUCCUCCAUUCUCAUUGGCUUGAAAGAUGUAAUUUUCAAGCUACUAAGCAACUCUACUGUGCACAUCUUACGGAUGUUGCGCCAAUACGAACCGUAUUGUGCAAAAGCCAUGCCUUUUUGUCCAUAAGAGAUGUACCUUGCAGACUCGUGAGGUGGUCUACCAGCAAAAACAAGGUCAUGGGUCUUAAGAAAUAAUUCGGCAGCUUCAGGCGAAGAGACAACAAUGGUCGGCACCAGGCCUAACCGCAGAUGCAUGAUGGGGCCAUAUUUUUGAGCAAGCUGAUGAAGAGCUCGAUGAGGAAACUUCCCUAACAAAUGAAGACUUCCAAAAAUUGGAAACCCUCUUGGACCAGGCGGCAGUCUCUUAUUCUUGGUGCUUAACCAUUGGAGCAGAAAGAUAAGUGCAACAAAGGCUAGAGAAGUCCAAAUCCAAGCCAUGGAUGUGAUUCUAUAGCUUGCUGUUCUUGAAGUGUAUAAAAUCUCUACCCUUUUAUUUACUUGGAUAUUGUGACUUAGGAAUCGAAAGCCUGAAGGAAAAACAAACAGGGGAGGUAAGUUCAACGUUGUUGUUGUUUGUUGUUUUGAUCCAACUUUGACUUGUGUAACUAAGAUCGAUCGUGACAUACUAUAAAAACACAAAAGGAUGAUUUGCUUAAUUCAAGUUAAUUGUGUCAUCACGGAUAUUAUAUACUUAGACUCAUUUUGAAAAUUCGUAUUGAUUAUUUUUAAAAAUAAUAUUUAAAAAUAUAUUAAAAUAAUAUAUUUUUUAUUUUUUUAAAAUUUAUUUUUAACAUCAACACAUUAAAAUAAUAUAUAAAUAUUAAAAAAUUAAUUUAAAUAUAAAAAUUAAUUAUUUUAAAAAAAACUUUUAAAACGCAAAAACAGCUCUUAUUGACUGAGUUUUAACUAUGAUUUUUUCAAUAAAAAAGCAAAGCAAUAGAAAAGCCACUUAUAUAUAUAGUGUUUGGGAUUAUAGUAGUAGUUAUUUUUCAAAGUAAUUUUUACUUGGAAAUAUAUUAAAAUAAUAGAUUUUUUAUUUUUUAAAAUUUAUUUUUGACAUCAGCAUAUCAAAAUAAUUUAAAAUCAUAAAAAAUAAUUUAAAAUAAAUGAAAAAAUUUUAAAAGUGUUUUUGUUAACGAAAAACAAACUAACUCUUCAAUUUGGAUUUCAAACAACAUGUUACUUAGGAUAGCAUAAAUUAUUCAAUCUUUUCACACGUUAGAGUAGAGAAAAGGGAUUAUAAUUCAGUAAUUUCGAGCCUACGCUGCCUCUGACAAAAAUAUAAAAGCUAAUUGAUAUUAUCCAAACUCCCCCACCCUUGCACAUUACAUUUAAUGCACCGAAAGUUGACCAACAAUUAGAAACGGUGCGCACCAUUUCUUUCUGUGGAGAAGGAUGGGAUGCCCAGCCAACAAUAAAUAGGUUAGGUUGCAUCUCAAGCCUUUCAAAACACACCAUUUAGGAGAGACAAAAGGAGAGUAAUAUCCAAUGAAAUUAUAUGAGGUAUUUGUCAGAGAAGCUCUAAUUAAAAUGUUUACUUUUAUUAGAAGAGAAAUUAUUAAUUGUUUUUCUAUUAAUAAAAUAUUAUUGUAAUUUUUAUAUUAUAUAGUAAAAAUUUUCUCGUGUGUGUAUUAUUAUUUAUUUUCCUUGUUCUCUUAGAGUUGUGUAUUUUAUUUAGCAUGCCGGCAUUAUAGACUAAAAUUAAGUGUAAACUGGCAAAAGUGCCGUAAGCUUUUGGUAUUCUAGAUUUGUCGGCAGAUAACCUUUCCAUUUCUUUUUCUUUGUUUAAGUUAAAUUAAAUUGAUGUUCAUGUAAUUUAUAUUAUUUGGGCCUUUACAUCUUAUCCUCCGUGCUUUAUAGCAUUAUGGCAGGUCUGGUUUGUCUUAUGGAUUUUAUUUUCUAAUAUUAAUGAUGGUUUUUUUUUAUAUAUAAUAUUUAUGCCCUGCCAUUGAUUUUUCAAAUUAGCCCCUAAACUUCUAUUUCUUUUUUAUUUAGUUCCUACUUUUUUGUUAUAAUUUUUUUUAGAAUAAUUCAUUAAAUUAUAUUUUUCUUUUGAUUUUAUCUUCAUUUAAUUUUUUGUCUUGUCCAAUUUGAUCUAUAUUUUUUUUAUUACUAUUCUUUCUUCAGAUUCACCCUCUGUAAAUUUUUUUCAUAAUAGAUUUUUUUUUUUUUUGCUUUGUAAAAUUUUUAAAAGCAGUAAUUUUUUUACUCGAUUUAAUUUUUCAAUAUGUAAUUAGUUUGAAUUUAAGCUUGAUUAAACCCAUGUUUAAGACUUCACUAGUUGCAAGCUUUGAAAAUAACCUAACUUCUUGAGGUUUGCCUAAGACUUUUUAAGUUAAUAUAAUGAUAUAUAUGUUGGUAAUAUUAUUUUAUAGUUUAUUUGUUAUCAUUGUUUUAAGUUUAAAUUAGAUUAGUGGACUUCCCGAUUUUAUUAAAUCACAUUAAUGACUGAAGUUUUAAGUUUUCGUAUUUUUUUAUAAAUAUUACUGUUAUCUAAACAUCUUUUUCUUUUUGAUGGACCCGCGGCGCAGCACACCAGUGAUCUAUUGAUAUACUAAUAUUUCUUUAUUAGUAUAUCAAUAGAAAAAAUAUCUCACCCUCAUUUUUUGCAACAAAAAAAAGAAUGACAUCACCACAUUCCCGGCAACUGCCACCGGCCGCUUCAUCCGUAUUUGUAUGCUCAAAUUCGUGAACCAAAAAAGACGUUUGCAUCCGAGCCCCUGAUCUCUCUUAAAUGUUAUAUGAUCCCCCUUUCUCUACGAAAAUGGAAAAACUCUCCUCUUAUGCUGAUAUGAUAAAAUCCCCACCCGUCUGUUCUCUACAACUCUCAACACUCCAUUCCUCUUCAUUUACCCAUGACUGUUCUCAAAUUUACAAUCCCACUUCGCACGCAUCACUUGAAAUUAAAUGAAAGGUUGUUUACUCACAAGGUAAAUGUUCAGGUGUUCAGAUGGGUGCAGAAACAACGGUGGUAUGUAGCCGAUAAUGGUUGCUGUUAUUCAAAGUUGAUAUCAGUUAUGGGAAAGAAAGAUCAAACCCGGAUGGCUAUGUGGCUCUUUUCUGAGAUGCGUGACAGUGGAUGCCGGCCAGGUACUCCAGUCUACAAUGCACUCAUCACAGCUCAACUUCACUCUAAAGAUAAAACUAAGACUUUGACUAAAGGCUGGAUGCAUCCAAAUAAUUGAGGCAGAAAUUUCAUGCCAUUUUUAUUGACUUAUCAGAAGUCCGACUGCAGCAAAUCCCCAUCAAAAGAAUUGUAUCUUCGUUGAAUCAACAAUGACUUUGAUGAUCAAAGAUUGACGUAGAGAGGGCAGAUGGGCUAAACUAGUUUGGUUGAUUUUGAGGACCUGUUUAUGAAGUGGUGACUGUCUCGAAUCUAAGGUCCCUACAACCAAAUUUGGAUAGUCGUCAGCUUUAAUUGAGAAGAAAAGGCCCAACCCACCAGAACCAGCAGCUCUGGACUGGACUUAAGAGCUUGUUUAUCAUUGCCUUGAACUAUUAUUUUUUAUUAUUAUUUUUUAUUUUAUAAAUUAAUAUUUUUAUUGUUUGGUUGCUGAUCAAAAGAUUAAUAUCAUGUUUGAUUUUGCCCUCGAAACUCAGCGCUUUCCUUGUAAUUGUAGGGGGCAAAAUCAUCAGUGUAGUGUAGCAAUCCAUAAUAUACCGAGCCUUGAUUUGAAUCACUACGUACCAAAUGUAGCAAUCUAUUUAAUCGAACAGCAACAUAAUUAGACUCACCAGUCAAUUCUAAGAAAACUGAUAGAUUGUGAACUUGGAAUCCCUUAUGGUGGUCCAAUUGUUGCCGUAUUCUGAACUUGCUCCAAGCGAUCGCAGACCUCAACAAGUAAAAGGCCUUCAACACACUGAACGAAAAUUAGGCCUAGCUUUCAUCCUUUUCUUGCUAAUAUCUAACAGCGUUUAUAUUACCUCUGCAUUUGCAUUAUGAUGUCUUUUCAAACGACAAAAAAGGAACUUGCAUUUUGUGAGACACUGGCUUUGAUUGACACGAAAUGCAGUGGAUAGCAGGGGAAUACAUGGACGCAAGUACAAGCUCCUAAUUGAUCCAGAGAAAUACAAAUGCUUGAUACAUAUAAGCAAUUUGAAGGCUGAUGCAUCUUUCGGUAAGAAACCUGAACCUCUCUGUCCUCGGUGACCUUGUUUCCCCGCAUAGCUGCAAAUACACCACUUGCUAGAGACACAACUAUGCUGAAAAAUUUGUGGUUGCCAUGCAGAACCAGCUGCUAACAGAGGCAAUAGUACCCAGAAAAAAUGAAGCAUCUGAUUUCGAGAACAAAUUUAAAGCCUUCUACAUAAUGAGAUAACAUCAAUAAUUUACGAGAAUGAUAUAAUAUAUGAUAAAUGACCAUCAGUUAAAUGUCCAGGAGAGGUGAUGUAAGGGUUCUGAACGGUCAAAUGCGAAUCUUUUACUAUUGAACCACAUGAAAAGCCUUGCAUAUAUAUAUAUAUAUAUAUGUAUAUAGAUUAGUUGGAUAGGUCAAGCUCUGCAAGAAAGGAACAAAUUUCUUUUUUCCUCCUUUUCAAAUAAUUUUGAACAUGCUCUAAAAUUCAUUGUUUGCUGAAGGGUUAUAUGCAUUUCAAAGUAUUUUUGGUACACUGCAAGCUAAUGUGCCUGCUAUUUGACCCAAAAUAGAAAAUUUUAGAAGUAGAAUUCCUUUAGCAUGUCGCAGACAUCUCCCACCAGCACGCUAAAUUAUUUCAUCAUGUAACUUGACGUGAUAAAGGCAAGCCCUCCUGAGAUCCUUGAUGUAACUUUCUCUGCUACUUUCUCACUUUAACAUAUGAGGUAGCUUGGGGCUACAAGGGGAGGGGAAGAAUGGGGAAAACGGCAUUCAAGCUACGAUUAUACUGGUCCUUCGAUAUCUACUCAAUCAUUGUUGGGAAACCUUGAACAUGGGGACUGUCUUUCCACAAUUGACAACUCCUUCUAUGACAUCAGAUAUUUAAGGCUCUUAUGAUCCGUGAAAAUUUGAACCCGGGAUCUGUAUAAGUAGUGCCUCCAUACUCGUAAAGCAAAAACUACUACUGCCAAUUCUAAGUCAUAAACUGGGUAGUUGACUUCAUGAGUCAUCACUGUAGACUACAAAGCCUUCUGUUCCAGAUGGAAGGAUUAGUACAGGGGCAAUAGUAAGCUUUCUUUUCAAUUCUUGAAAGCUCUCAUCGCACUCAUUUGACCACUCCCAUCUUAUGUUCUUCCUAGUGAAUCAUGUCAAUGGAGUUGCUAUCGUUGAAAACCCUUUGAUAAACCUUCUAUAAUACCCUGCCAAUCCGAGAAAACUAUGAAUUUCAGUUACCGUAGUAGGCCUUUCCCAUCUCAAAACUGCUUUCACCUUCUAAGGAUCCACAAAAAUGCCUUUUGAAGAUACUACAUGCCCCUAAAGGUAACUUCUUUUAACCAGAAGUCACAUUUAUCCAACUUGGCAUACAACUGGCGGCUCCUUAGAGUCUGUAGUGUCUAUCUCAGGUGUUGUUCAUGUUCCUCAUAGGAUUUGGAGUAAACCAAGAUGUCAUCGAUGAAUACGACAACAAACUUAUCAAGGUAUGGUUGGAAUACUCGGUUCAUUAAAUCCAUAAAAAGUGCUGGAGCAUUAGUUAAUCCAAAAGGUAGCACCAAGAACUUGAAGUGUCCGUAGCAAGUUCUGAAGGCAAUUUUUGGCACAUCUUGCCCUCUGAUUCGCAUCUGGUAGAUUCCUGAUCUUAAAUCAAUCUUUGAGAAUACUUUAGCACCCUUUAACUGAUCGAAUAAAUCAUCUAUCCACGGAAGCGGAUAUUUAUUCUUUACCAUCACUUUAUUCAGCUGACGGGAAUCUAUGCAAAGCCUCAACGUUCCAUCUUUCUUCUUCACAAAUAAUACGGGUGCUCCUCAAGGUUAGUUGUUUAGUCAUAUGAACCCUUUGUCUAAAAGCUCCUACAAUUGAAUUUUCAACUCAUCCAAUUCUUUUGGGGCCAUUCUAUACUGUGGUUGGGCUAUAAGAGACACCUCAGGCAAUAUAUCGAUGGUGACUUCAACUUCUCUUUCUAGGGGUAGUCCUGGCAAUUCUUCCGGAAAUACGUUCGGAAAUUCCCUCAUAAUUGGAAUGUCAGACAGUCCUAUUUUACCCUUUUUUUAAAUUUAACACAUAGGCAAGGUAUGCUGUACAACCUUUCUUUAGUAGUUUUCUUGCAACUAUACCCGAGAUUAUAUUUGUAAAGUUGGAAAUUCUCUCCCCCUUGAAGACCAUUGUUUCACCCUUAUCCCCUUGGAAGGUUACUGUUUUUGUAAAGCAGUCUAGACGAGCCUUAUUUUUGCCCAACCAAUUCAUACCUAGAAUUAUAUCAAAAUCACUUAAUUCUAGGGGUAUUAAAUCUUCUUCUAGUUUACACCCAUUAAUGUUAAUUCCCACCCCUUCAAAUACAACAUUUGCUUCCACAGUUUCACCCAAAGGUGUCCCAAUAAUAAAUUCUUUUUCUACCCUUUUUGUUUCCUUACUCAAUUUGGUUACAUUUUUAUUUGCUAUAAAGGAGUGGGUGGCACCAGAAUCAAACAAAACAUACAUUUGAUAGUCAUUCAUUUGUAGCAUAUCUGCCACCACAUUUGAUGCUGCUCUGACAUCCUCCUGGGUCAUAUGGAAAACCUUUCCUUGAUCCCUUUCAUUUUGCACUCUGGGUCAUCACCUAUUUGAGUUAACUCCUGACUGAGUCGACCUUCCCGGUUUGUUUACUUUGAUGGACUGCUGAUGACUCUGACUUUGCUGCCUAUGUCUCUGAGGUUGUUGUCACUGGCCUGGAGUGAGGUUGGAGGUGGUCUGGGUAGUCGCCCUGAAGCUGAUGGCGGCGUCUGUAGAGGAGUCGCUGCUACUGCUGCCGAUACUGGAGAAGGAAGAAAACGAAAAUGGUG
rnacentral:lncRNA from 1 species